CCCAGGAUGGUCAGCAAGCACAAGCACUGAAGGGCCUGGUCUUUCAUCAGCGUCUGCAAGAGCAGAAGAGCCCUGAGACUCUGUCACUGCCUGUACCUGGUGCUCUGGUUGUGAGGAGAGCUCUGACAAGGACCGGAAAAGCUUUCUAAGCUGGAGUUGCUCUGGCCCGGUGUUCCAUGGGUACGUGUUCUUUGUUUGAUAAGGGUUAAGCUUUUUAUUAAAGACAUUCACGUGGGUGCUUUG
rnacentral:lncRNA from 1 species